UACGUAGGGUGCGAGCGUUGUCCGGAUUUAUUGGGCGUAAAGAGCUCGUAGGCGGUUUGUCGCGUCGGCCGUGAAAUCUCCACGCUUAACGUGGAGCGUGCGGUCGAUACGGGCAGACUUGAGUUCGGUAGGGGAGACUGGAAUUCCUGGUGUAGCGGUGAAAUGCGCGGAUAUCAGGAGGAACACCGGUGGCGAAGGCGGGUCUCUGGGCCGAUACUGACGCUGAGGAGCGAAAGCGUGGGGAGCGAACAGG
rnacentral:rRNA from 1 species